rnacentral:sRNA from 1 species
AGGUUGAGGUGCGGCGCGCGCCCUCCUCCCAUUGGACCCGGCGCUCCCGGCAGGCCUACAGAAUUGGGCGUGAAACAGCAAAGGAUGGCCUCUGCUUCCACCACCAUCAGAAAUGUUACAUUUUCACCAGUGCACCAUAAUGUAGCAGUCUCUUAUUGUGAGGUAUCACCUGGAGUUCUUUGUCUCAUGACCAAGAAAAUUAAGGAGCGUGGAUGCAAAUGGUGAAGUUGCAGCGAAAGUUUAAUAAGCAAAAGAAGAAAGCUCUCCACAGUGGAGAGGGGACCCGGAGGAGGGUUGCUGUUUUUACAGGUGACUGCAAAGGCUUUUAUAAGAACGGGUGAGGGCUGGGCAUCUCAUUUGCAUAAGGCAUGAAUUUCUGGUAGCUCCACCUCAUCCUUCUAGUGUGCAUGUGGGCCCUUAGCUUAAGUUUUAUUCCAUAUUGCUUUGUUCCCCUUACUGUGCAUGUGUCAGGGGAUGGAAUUUUCCACUGCAGAAAUAUCUGGGCAAGUCAUCUGUGUAGACUUUCAUAUCUGUGCGGCUGUGGGAAUGUCUUAGGCAAGGCCACCUGUGCAGAUCCCCUUAUCUGUGCCUGCAGCUUGAUUUUUCAGGCUAUUCUUUUGUUUGAAAGAAUUUAACCAAGGACGUACCCUAACUGAUGCCUGAAAGGUUUCUUCCUUUCUCCUCUCUCAGUAUCUUCCCUUGUGGACUACACCAAUGUCGAAAUGUUCUUGCUAAAAAUGAUGCAGGGAGAAAGACAAAGUUAUAAAGUUGGCAUCCACAAUUUUUCCAUCUUGCCUCGCUCC